GCGGGGGUGCCCGAGCUGGUCAAAGGGGGCGGACUCAAGAUCCGCUGGCGAAGGCCUUCGCGGGUUCAAAUCCCGUCCCCCGCA
rnacentral:tRNA from 22 species